rnacentral:rRNA from 1 species
AACGAACGCUGGCGGCAGGCUUAACACAUGCAAGUCGAGCGCCCCGCAAGGGGAGCGGCAGACGGGUGAGUAACACGUGGGAAUCUACCCAUCCCUACGGAACAACUCCGGGAAACUGGAGCUAAUACCGUAUACGCCCUUCGGGGGAAAGAUUUAUCGGGGAUGGAUGAGCCCGCGUUGGAUUAGCUAGUUGGUGGGGUAAAGGCCUACCAAUGCGACGAUCCAUAUCUGGUCUGAGAGGAUGAUCAGCCACAUUGGGACUGAGACACGGCCCAAACUCCUACGGGAGGCAGCAGUGGGGAAUAUUGGACAAUGGGCGCAAGCCUGAUCCAGCCAUGCCGCGUGAAUGAUGAAGGCCUUAGGGUUGUAAAGUUCUUUCACCGAUGAAGAUAAUGACGGUAGUCGGAGAAGAAGCCCCGGCUAACUUCGUGCCAGCCGCCGCGGUAA